CAGCAGUCGCCACGGGAAUACGGAGGGAGCUAGCGUUGUUCGGAAUUACUGGGCGUAAAGCGCACGUAGGCGGCUUUGUAAGUUAGAGGUGAAAGCCUGGAGCUCAACUCCAGAAUUGCCUUUAAGACUGCAUCGCUUGAAUCCGAGAGAGGUGAGUGGAAUUCCGAGUGUAGAGGUGAAAUUCGUAGAUAUUCGGAAGAACACCAGUGGCGAAGGCGACUGACUGGACAAGUAUUGACGCUGAGGUGCGAAAGCGUGGGGAGCAAACAGGAUUAGAUACCCCGGUAGUCCCUGUCUCUUAUAC
rnacentral:rRNA from 1 species